ensembl:lncRNA
GUUAAUCAUAGUUUAGUAUGUUUGUUCCAAAACCGAGACGACAUGGAGUAGAGUAGGCUUUCAGUGAAAAAAACAUUACCUUCUCAGUGAACAAAGAUCCAGUGAAACCGAAAAAGUCCUGCAAAGAAACCUGGAGGUAAUUCCAAAAGCAGGAAAAUACUUUUUUCUGUCUUAAUUGUUUGUUGAAGGCAACUGGACAUUUUGGGGGAUUUUUUGGUUCAUGAGAAAGUUUCAAGCCUUAUCCAAGAGGAAUCUGACAUAUUUAGCCUCCCGGAGUUGGUCCUGAGAGUUGCUGGCCCAUGCUGUCAUGAGGGCUGUUAAAGGUCACAGAAGCAAUGGUGUGAAUUCUCUGCAAAACACUGGCCCUCCCACAUGGGUCACAGUGUGAGUGGCGGUUGAAACCAGAGUUAAUAAUAGUUUUGUACUUUAUAAUCAGUUUUCAUUAUUUUUUCAUUUUGACUAUUUGUUUUUAGUUAAGUUUAGGUUCAGUUAUUUUCCAGAGUUUUGUUUCAGUAUAGUUUUUACUGUAUGGUUGUAAUUUACUUUUUAUUAGACUCGGUGCUAGUUUUAGUCUUUUUAAUUAUUAUUGUAUAAGGAGGCCAUAUGUUAGAAGCAAUAUUUAGGAAAACACAUCCAACAAUGCCCCAUCAGGAAAGCUAUAGUAACAUUUUUACCAAAGUAACAGAUACCAAAAACUAAGGAUAUUUAAUUAUUUUUCCUUAUUUAUUCCUGUUUUUUUUUUUAUCUUGUUUUAUUUUAUUUUCCAAGUUCACAAAAUUGUUUAUGUUAGUUUAAAUUUUUUUUAGGUUUAUUUUAGUUACCACUGUUGCUUGUGCUGUACCAGUGGCACAUGUGAUGUGACAAUAAAAGUGAUCUAUUUUGAUUUGAUUUGAUUUAACUAUAAUAACGGGAUGGGAAAUAAAACAUCGUCAUGAGCCAAAAAGGACGUCCAGUUUCCCUAAACUCAAGCAUGUAAGACACCAUGAGCUGGAUGCCUAAAAACCUACACAAUGAUUUCUGUG